rnacentral:lncRNA from 1 species
CUCCACUCCUGAUCCACAAUGUGAUCCACCGGCAAGGAGGGAUGCCAAUAAGGCGUCUGAUAAGAUAAGUCUUAUAAAAUAUAUAGGUUUAUGAUAAUUAAAACUGAGCUAACAGAUGAGAAUCCUAGUCAUUGGCCAAGCUGCAUUGAACCUAAUACAAGUUUCUGUGUAUUCAUUUGGGCCAAACUCAGGCAGGUGGCUGGCAUAAAACGCACAUGUGACAGUGGGACUCCGGUGGCUUUUGGUGGAAAGAUUUAUCUUAACAAUGCUUUAUGGGCAUGAUGCAAGAUGCUCCCCUCCAGUCCGGGCUCCAAAGGAGCACCAACCAGAAUGACUUACUUUCUCAUUCUUAAACUCUUCAUUUGGAAUAAAUAACAGUGUUAACCAUGUGGAUGCUUGACUGUGGUUUAAGACCAUGAGUAAUUUUCUAAGAACAAAAUCUCAGUGAGCUCACCAACAGUAAACCCGCCAGCUUCCAUACAGCAGCUUCCUUGGCUCAGGCUCUGAAAUAACUGUAGUAUUUUAGAGUUCCAGCCUUUGUCAGAACGCAAGGACAAGACUUGAAUAAAAUCAUGUUUUCUGUGGAUCUAAACUGAAAUCACAGCUUAUUGAACAGAACAUUUCGAUUUUCAGAGUUGGGAAACUGACACUCAGAGAGAAUGCUGUGCUCAAGAUGAAGAAGCCAGGCCCCUGAUUAAGCUCACACAGCCAAUAACAACAGCAGAGCCAGCAUCAAAGAACUUCAAGAUUAAGAUCUGUUAGUAGGGGGACAGGAGAGAUGGUUCAGUGACUAAGAGCACUGGCUACUCUUCCAGGGGACCUGGGUUCAAGUCCCAGCACCCACAUUGCAACUACCUAAAACUCACAACUACCUAAAACUCCAGUCCCUGGGGAUCUGACACCUUUUGGUCUCCAUGAGCACCAGGCAUGCACAUGCUGCACAGAGAGACAGGCAAAAUACCCAGACACGUGAAAAAACAAGAAAGC